AACGCAUCUUGCGCUCUUGGGUUAUUCCUAAGAGCAUGCUUGUUUGAGUGUCGCAACCUUCUCAACCCCACUACUUCUUAAUUGAAUUAGUUGCUUAGGGCUUGGAUCAUGGCUACUGUCUGCUGUUAGUUCAACUAGACUUGGCUGAAAUACAACAAGCUAAAUCAAAAUACUUUUGCGGCUUGAGCUAUCGUCGUAGAACUUUCAUCUCGAUAGUAACGCAUUGGAGAUUUGAACAAGCUUUAACAAACCAAUCUAACACUGUUGAAAGUUUGCACAGUGCAUUCAGACCUCAAAUCAAGUAGGACUACCCGCUGAACUUAA
rnacentral:misc_RNA from 1 species